UACAGAGGUGGCAAGCGUUGUUCGGAAUUACUGGGCGUAAAGCGCACGUAGGCGGCUUUUUAAGUUAGGGGUGAAAUCCUGGAGCUCAACUCCAGAACUGCCUUUGAUACUGAGAAGCUUGAGUCCGGGAGAGGUGAGUGGAACUGCGAGUGUAGAGGUGAAAUUCGUAGAUAUUCGCAAGAACACCAGUGGCGAAGGCGGCUCACUGGCCCGGUACUGACGCUGAGGUGCGAAAGCGUGGGGAGCAAACAGG
rnacentral:rRNA from 1 species